AACGCUGUUCUUGGUAACUUAAUACUAAGUAUUUGACGAGAAAAGAAAAGAUAAAUCUAGAAAUUUAAUAGCAAGAGGGACUACUUUUCUAAAAGUAGCACAUGGUUUAACAGUUCUGUAAUCGGUAGAACGUUCUACAAUGCUUCGAUGACAAUCAGAAGCAAUCCAAUGGAACAGAAAAACAUCAACAAGUAUUUCAAAUGUUUUUUGCAUAUACAUGCAGGUUUGCUAACUGUGAACUCCGGUCUAUGGUGAUUGUUGACAGGAGCAUGAUCGGAUCAGACUCUUCGAUUACUAAAUACCCAGGAAAAAUACCUUCUGCUGCUAAUUUACCUAGUGAGGCCGCAGAUGAGAAAAUUCUGGAGAAUGAUGACAACCUCAAUGAUAAAUGAUAACCAUUGGUAUUGACAUCAUUCAUUAUUGUGGUAUAUCUAUGAGGAUUGCUCAAGUACACCAAUUAUUUUUGAGAGUCAUCAUCAUUGAAACAAUAUUAGACUUGCAAAGAAUUCUUGGGAUUCUGGGUUAGCUUCUCUUUCCAAUGUGCAAGCCACAUUCUACAGAACCCUUUUCUUAAUGUUAUGGUCUAAUUAAGGUUAUGAGCCUAAAAUUGUUCUUGAAAAGGGAAAAAAUAGGAAUGGAAAUAAUUUCAUCAAGUGGCAGCUUCCAUGGAAAUGAACUAGAUAUCUAGUUCCCUUUGAGUAUGUCAUAAAAUUGCAGAGAAAAUAUGUUCCUGGGGUCAGCACAAUAUGAUCUUAACUCAUCAAUGUAUUGGAAUUAUGAUAUGAUCCUAUUAAUGUUAAAAAAGGUUUUUCACUA